rnacentral:rRNA from 1 species
UACGUAGGGAGCAAGCGUUGUCCGGAAUCAUUGGGCGUAAAGCGCGCGUAGGUGGCUUCGUAAGUCCGUUGUGAAAGUCAAAGGCUCAACCUUUGAAAGCCGAUGGAUACUGCGGAGCUAGAGUACGGAAGAGGCGAGUGGAAUUCCUGGUGUAGCGGUGGAAUGCGCAGAUAGUCAGGAGGAACACCAAUAGCGAAGGCAGCUCGCUGGGACGUUACUGACACUGAGGCGCGAAAGCGUGGGGAGCGAACAGG